rnacentral:rRNA from 1 species
AUUGAACGCUGGCGGCAUGCCUAACACAUGCAAGUCGAACGGCAGCACGGCAGUAGCAAUACUGUGGGUGGCGAGUGGCGGACGGGUGAGGAAUACGUCGGAAUCUGCCCAGUCGUGGGGGAUAACUAGCCGAAAGGUUAGCUAAUACCGCAUACGACCGAGAGGUGAAAGCGGGGGACCGCAAGGCCUCGCGCGAUUGGAUGAGCCGACGUCGGAUUAGCUAGUUGGUGGGGUAAAGGCCCACCAAGGCGACGAUCCGUAGCUGGUCUGAGAGGAUGAUCAGCCACACUGGAACUGAGACACGGUCCAGACUCCUACGGGAGGUAGCAGUGGGGAAUAUUGGACAAUGGGCGCAAGCCUGAUCCAGCAAUGCCGCGUGUGUGAAGAAGGCCUGGUGUAAG